AGCAUUGGUUUGCAUGAGCAGAAGUGACUGGUUGGAAUUAAGAUUGGGAACAACUGCAUGGGCAAACAGCAUGUCCUGGCCCAAAGCCCUGGAGACGCUAUUAGGAGCAGCGAGCUCUUUGCGGAGCCYGGCGAGCGGCUGCUGAGGAGCAGCAUGGUCCAUGGACCUUCACUUUGCAAAAAAGAGGCAUUUCUUCUACCCUGCCUCACCAUCCAAAAAGGAGAAGUUGAAGCGGCUCCAGUGCGCCUUGCUAAUAGAAGGGAUUGGAAGGAGACCACAUGGCCCCAACACUGUUGUUCACAGCCCAGAUGUAACRUCGUGAAGACACCAACCUGCAGCCAAGGCUUCGCAGGCAGCUUGCAAGUUGGGAGACGCUUGCUAAAAGCACUCCUGGAACAAAGUAGUGAGAAAUAUUGCUGGAAGGGAGGAUUACCUGGCUGUGAUAGAGAGCUUUUAUUCUGCAAAUGAUCUUGGAUUUCUCCUGACCUGUGACUUGUGCCCUGCCAGGUCAUGAAGCCUCAGUGAGGUUGAACCUAGGACUUUGCAGGGCUGCAGCGGGUGGGCGAACGUGAGCUCCUUGCUCCCCUAAAUGAGAUUUAUGUAAUAUCCCCUGCUCGACCACCUUGGAGA